rnacentral:rRNA from 1 species
GACGAACGCUGGCGGCGUGCUUAACACAUGCAAGUCGAACGGAAAGGCCCUGCGUGGGUGGGGUGCUCGAGUGGCGAACGUGUGAGUAACACGUGAUUAACCUCCCCUGGACUUUGGGAUAACUUCAGGAGACUGGUGCUAAUACCUGAUAUUAGCUCCUGCUGCAAGGUGGUGAUUGGUAAGUUUGGGCGGGUGGGGCUGGAGUCGCGGUUUAUCAGCUGGUUGGUGGGGUAGUGGCUUACCAAGGCUUUGACGGGUAGCUGGCCUGAGAGGGUAACCGGCCACAUUGGGAACGAGAUCGGGACGAGACUGCUACGGGUAGCAGCAGUGGGGAGUAAGGCACAACGGGCGGAGGCGUGAUGAAGAAACGCGGCGUGCGGGAUGACGGCCUUCGGGUUGUAAACCGAUUUAGCCUGAGACGAAGCGUGAGUGACGGACCUGAGGAAAGAAGCACCGGCAAAUUAGGU